GAGCAUUUGAAAGCAAAAUGUGUGGUUUUUAAAAUAGCUUAACUGAAUAUAAGUUCAUGACUUUUUUGACAUCAUUGAGGCUAUCCAUUUGGCAUUCAGCACUCAACCAUGUUUCCACAUUGUUUAUGGUAUUGUGGAUGCAACUAUGAGAAAUAUUAAUAGUGUUGGACACUUGUGAUCCAGAUAUGAUGCUAAAACUGGAGACAUGGUUUCACACUUUACUCUCAAUGUGUUAAUUCCUUUUUGUAGGGGUAUUGCAAGACAUUGCAAUUACCUUGGAGAUCUGCUGCUGGCACUUUCUUUCAGUUUGCCAUGUGGGGCGAGUUCUGUGAUUCCGUACUUUUAUCCUAUCUACCUUCUUAUUCUACUUAUAUGGAGGGAGAGGAGAGAUGAAGCAAGGUGUUCGCAGAAGUACAAGGAAGUCUGGGCAGAGUACUGCAAGAUGGUUCCAUGGAGGAUACUACCUUUUGUGUAUUAGAAACAUUUGCAGUUAGUUCAUGCUCCACCAACAGAAUACUUUCAAAAAGUCGCACCAAAUGACAUUCUUGUAUCUUAGGGUUUUCUUAGAUUAAACAAAGAAUUACAAUGCUCUAAUCUGUGGUGCUGCUUCUGUUUGAGCUCUUCAAAUAUAUAAUCUUACACCUUGUGGCUUUGAAUGUUUGCUUAUGAAUUUGAUUUUUAUUUUUCCUCAUAAUAUAAUGCAAUUCCAGAAUCCUGAACCUUCACAA